rnacentral:rRNA from 1 species
UACGUAGGGGGCCAGCGUUGUCCGGAAUCAUUGGGCGUAAAGAGCGUGUAGGCGGCUCGGUAAGUCCGCUGUGAAAGUCCAGGGCUCAACCCUGGAAUGCCGGUGGAAACUGUCGAGCUAGAGUCCGGAAGAGGCGAGUGGAAUUCCUGGUGUAGCGGUGAAAUGCGCAGAUAUCAGGAGGAACACCAAUGGCGAAGGCAGCUCGCUGGGACGGUACUGACGCUGAGACGCGAAAGCGUGGGGAGCAAACAGG